UACUAUGCAACAAUCAAGUCUUGAGCUUGUUUAUGGCACCCACUAUUCUGUACUGAAUUCCAAAAUAGGGACAUUUCCCCCCCCCUUUCUUUAGGUCAGAAAACAAAAUCCCAAUUCUCAUUUCAUGGUAAAUACAAAAGUAUCUGCCUAUCAAGGUAUUUAGGAAAAAUCUAAUACUUUAGGGCAGGGGGCUCUGCCUUAUCUUUAUGGUAAUCUACAUGAGCAAAGUAAUUUUGUGAAUCCGUAUUCAGUAUUAACUUAGCUCCUAUUUUCAUGACAAGUUUAAGAUGGUACAGCACUUCUUUUAAUGAAGUGAUUUAUCACAUAUGAAGGAUAGUAAUCAAAUAUUCUUUCUGCAAGUGAAAAGAACUCACUUCCAAGUGAAAUCUUGUUCUGUGAUCUAAAGCAGGGGUCUCCAACCUUGGUCCCUUUAAGACUUGUCGACUUCAACUCCCAGAAUCCCUCAGGCAGCAAAGCUGGCUGAGGAACUCUGGGAGUUGAAGUCCACAAGUCUUAAAGGGACCAAGUUUGGAGAGCCCUGAUCUAAAGUAUCAGUUUGGAACUAAUUCAGAGGACAACAAAUACACCAGGGAGCUGGAAAUGAUGUUUUGGGGAGAGAAACUAUGGAAACUGGAUGUGGUUAACUUUAGAAAGGAAAAAAAAAAUGAAUU